GCUGUGACAAAGGGAGCCCCGGCUGAGACCCUGCUCAGACACAUUGGAACCGGGAAAGACUGGGUGAUUAUUACCUAACACGUGUGCUACAGAUACGUCCUGUAUCUUCAUUUCUCUGGGAUUCCUUUCGGCAAAUUCUGCGUGAUUUUACCUGCCCGGAAAGGUAGUCUGGGGAUGAAGCGACGCCCCCGUAAGGCGGGAUUUUGAAUACCUGGGAUGUGAGCAGCACGGUACCAAUUCACCUGUUCUGAGACCCGGCCUCUCAGUGUUGGACACAGACAGUGAAACCUCGGGCACGUGACGCGCAGUAACGCGUCCAGGGCCACAGGCAGCACGUGACGGAGCCCAGACUCCUAGGAGCUCGGCAGUGUCCAGAGUUCGCGGCCGUCCCGGACUCCCUGCACAGGCGGCGUGGGAAAUGUUCUCGUGGUCCUGAGUCAGCGGCCUCGCCUUCCCUCCAGAGGAAAGCAACACCUUCCGGCCUGUGGUUGGAGGUCUGCCUGCGAGCAGUGAGAUGUUGCCCCAGGAUCCUUGAGCCUGCAGUUCACCAACAAGCCCUUCCUUUUGGGAAUAAUCGGGGGUAUGUCUGCAGGUGUAGAAAGAAGAAAAGCCCAGUGUACCACUUUAAAGAUGUGCCAGGGAUGGCCACAUAGGCCUCUCUGCAGAGAACUGUAUGCGUCCAGGGACACCUGUGGUCUUUGACGGAUCCAUGCUCCAGACGCAAAGGGAUGCUGGAUAAUUCUGCAAUGCUAUAGGUGUACUUAAAAAGCAUGAAAAAUGUCUGUUUCCAGGUGGCCGAGAAGAAAGGGAAGCUAGAGCAUAAAUAGAGGUUGAAACCAAGCAGCUGUGAAGUUAUCGAGACCAGAAAGACAUCUUUAGGGCCGGGAAACUGACCGCUGCCUGAGGAUGCCUGGGGAGCUUGUGGAUGCUGUGUGCCAUGAGGAUCAGGGGAGCAGCUUUACAAACCCAGGAACAGGGAGGGAGCUACCAUGUCUGUGUAGAGACUUGCCUUGCUUGGCCCUCCAGGAACACAGAGCAAUAACUGAUGCCGGCUCUGGACCCCAGGUGUACCUCUUGUGUGAAGCCUCAGUUCACACCGUCUGCACUCUGGAAAUUUUGAGCAGGAAUUGAAUAUAAAGGUUGAUCUAUAUCCAACUGCAACCCCCAAGACCCCAGCCCAGGGCAGGUGCCUGCACAACUCAGGGUGUUUCUGGGACAGAGAAGGAUAAUCCCCAAGUUCUCACCUGUGAGAACUUGCCACCUUGAGGCUGAACAGACUCGAUAAAAGAAGAAUUCACAUCUGAGGACCUACAGAUGAAGGAAACAUCAAAAUGCACCUUUGAUCAUGAAGACACAAUAUAAAGGGGAAAACAAAGGCACAUAGGCCACAUUACAACUACAGGGCUUAAAAAAAAGUCGUGGAAGGAAAAAUAGAGUCACUGAAAGAAAAUGAGUGGGUUGGACAGAAUGUCUCCUGGUCUCUGUUGUGUUUGUCCUGCCACAGUAAUGUCCCAGGAGUGGGGACAGGUCGCGGUGGAACUUGAACCUUAACCACUUCACACAGCGCCCGGGACUGGGCACCUGCUGAGUGGAUGGGUGUCCAUGUGAGUGUCCGCUGUGAUCUGCUACUUCCAGACUCUUUGGAUGUGGACAGUGGUCCCUGCCAGGCCGUUUCCUUCCCAGCCAGGCAUCAAAGGCCUCAGCUUCAGGUGUGAGGGGACCAUGUGCGGAGCUGGAGGAGGGGGCGGGACAGCAGGCCUCAAGGGGGACAGUGACCGGCCUCUCCGGUGUUCCCUCCAAAGGGAAGGGCGCAGCCCCGCACAUGGAUUUCUUGACUGUGCUGGGGGAAACAACAGAGGGCUCCCCCCCGGCCUGGGGCCCAUGUGCCAGCCCCCCUCUCCUCCGGGUCCUGCACGCCAUUCAUCGUGUUCCCUCAUCUGCGCUAACGAGGACCUCUGAAAAAUGGCUGCUAUGGUCAUGAUCUAUGGAACUUGCUGUAGAGAGCAAUUAAAUACGGUUAACGGCCGGCUUCCACGAACACAUUAAAAGGCCUACAGGCUGCGAUUUAUGAAGGCAGUUGUGCUGCCUCAUUUGUAUCCAGUGCAUGUCUGGUUUCUGCUCAGGAGGUCCGGCCCAGGAGGGACCACCCUCCAGGCUUCCUCCAGCAUCACUCCCGUCACCAGUCCUCCCGAAACCGUGUUAGCAGGGCUUGGUCGUCCUCACUGCCUCCCUGAACGUCCACGGGAGGCCUGCUGGCUGCUAUCAUCGUGGAAAGGCACGUGCUACCCCCAGAGGAACUUAGAUGUCAUACUGGGGCUGGUUCUCACACGUGGUGUAAAGUGACUUGAUGACAAGCUCAAGGUGAAGUGCUGUGGGCUCACUGUCCUCCACUCUGCUGAUGUCUCUGUGUAAUCAGCACACGACCCCAGCUCAAGGAUGGGGAGGGGUCUCUAUCCCCAGUGGCCAGCAAGCUGGGCAGAGUCAUGCCCCAUUCAUCCAGCAACCUUCCCCACUGUGAGACAGGAGGAAGAUCAAGCCCCUGAGAAGCCCAAACAAGAACUAAGAGCAUGCAACCUACUCAGGAGUGAGCAACUAGACAGGAGAUGGCCAGUCUGUCCCAGCGCCCCCCCCCCCCCCCCCCCCCCCCCCGCCCGCCACUGGCCGACUCCACCUACUGACGUCACGCUGGCCCAGGGGCAUGCUUCCAUCAGCAGUGGGGACUGCAGACAAUAGGUGUGUCUGCUGGUCUGGUCCUUGACCUUCACCUGGAACCUUGGGGCUAAACAUAGAAAAAGGGCUAGGGAGGUAGCUUUGCAGGACAAGUUCCAGGGGUGUCCUUGGUAGUAUUUUCCCCUUUUGUGGACACUUUUCCUUCCUGAGAAAAUAGCCAAGACCAGGUGUUCUUUUGCCCCUGGAACUGCCAAUGGUUUCGUGCCAUGAGGCCAAAGCACAAGAGUCCAGGCAGCUAGACUGUGAUACCAGCCCUUGCUUUUGAACGCCCAGGCUUACUCAGUGGAAAUGCUGGGUGGGCUGGUGGGGGAAGCCACAGAGAUGUGGGUUUUUCCGUGAUGAGAGGUGAGAGUUGCCAGAGUAGGUAAUGGCAGGGGUUGUCUUGGGGCAAAGGAUGGGAUAUCUUCCUGUUGUUGACAUCAUUGUACUGCUUCCCAGUGAGGCCCUGGGACCCACUCACAUCAGAGAUGCCAUAAUGUGAGGAAAUGGAAGCCAGAGUAAUGGCCUUGGGGAAAGUGACAAAGUACCCCUGUGUCCAAACUCAGCUCAGCUACAACCCCCUCAAAGGGAGCAGGAGGGUGAAUAGAGAGUUUAUUUCCCGGACACUUGGGGCUGAAGGGCAGAGAACACUUCCUUGAAUGCUUAGAGUAUAUAGAACCUUCUGGACGUGUGUUCAAGUCCACGAGGAAUGGCUGAAAAUAUGAUUCAUUUGCAGGUAGCAGGUUGAAGAGAAGUUUGGAUCAGCUUUUAUUUAAUUUGGAGAAAUAAUAGCAUACGAUAGUUCUGCUGGCGUCCAACGUCCUUUAGAGUCUGCAGUGAAAUGAAUUUCCCCAAAGAGGGAGGACCUUGGAAAGUGAUGACAGGUCCCGUCUCCAAGUAUUAAUUUCUAGGGAAGCGGAGGCCGUCUUCUGGCGUGGGGACACCAUAGGGUCUGCAUCACCACAGUGCUGAGGGCAAGGACAAGGGACAGAUGCCAGCUGGGUCCAGGUUGUGAUCCCAAAGACAGCGUGGCAAUGAUGGCUUCUGUUUUGGGUGUUUUUUUUUUUUUUUUGCAGCUUUAUGGAGAUAUAAACGAUAAGUAAAAUGGCGUGUAUUUAAGGUGUACAACUUGACACCUACCUGUGAAAGCAUCACCAUGAUCAAGUCCAUUAAUGUCCCUGUCACCUCACUGUGGGAGUGUGUGUGUGUGGGGGGGGUAAGAACAUUUCAUACUGAUCUUCUUUGCAAAUGUCAAGUACACAGUAUUACUAACUGUAGUCGCUGGGCUUUACCUUAGAACCCCAACCUGUUCAUCUCGUAACUGGAAGUUUGCACCCUUUGGCUAACGUCUCCCUAUUCCCACCCCCCACCACCCCCCACCCCGGCUGUUGGCAACUACAGUUCUACACUCUGCUUCUAUGAGUUUGAUUAUUUUAUUUAUUUAUUUACUGUAAGUUUAAUUUUAUUGCAGCCUUGUUGACUUACAACGCUGUGUUCGUUUCAAGUGUACAGCAAAGUGGAUCAGUCAUCCCAAUGCAUGUAUCCCUCCCUUUUCCCACAUGGGUUGUUACAAACUACAGAGUACACUUUCCUGUGCUCUGCAGUCGGUUCCUCAUCUCCAGUAAGUUACUCAUCUCGUUUAUAACAUACACACACUACUGAGUUUGACUAUUUUAGAUGCUCCCUGUAAGUGAGAUCAUGCGUUGUUUGUCUUUCUAUAUCUAAUUUAUUUUGCUUAGCACCACAUUCUCCAGGUUCAUCCAGAGAGAAAAUUACAGAAUUUCCUUCUUUUUAAACUCUCAGUAUUUAGUCAUUCAUUCCUUGGUGGAACUUAGGUUGUUUCCAUGUCUUGGCUAUUGUGAAUAAUUCUGCACUGGACCUGAGAGUGCAGGGAUUGCUUUGGAGUCCAGACUUUAUUUUCUUUGGGUUUAUAUCCAAAAGAGACAUUGCUGAGUGGUAUGGUGGUUCUAUUGUCAAUUUUUUGAGGAACCCGCAUACUGUUUUCCAUAGCGGCUGCACCAAUUUGCAUUUCCACCCACGGGGAACCAGGGUUCCUUUUCCUCCACACCGUCGCCAACGUUUAUCUUUCGUCUUUUUGAUAGUCACUAUCCUAGCAGGAGUGACGUGAUCUCUCAAUGUGGUUUUGAUCUGAAUUUCUCUGACGAUUAGUGAUGUUGAGCAUCUUUUCAUAUAUCUGGUGGCUAGUUAUAUAUCUUCUUUUGAGAAAUGUCUGCUUGUGUCCUUUGCCCAAUCUUUAACUGUGUUAUUUGUGUGAAUUGUCUUUUGCUAUUGAUUUGUAACACUUACUUAUAUAUUUUGGAUCAGAGCUCAAUAGCAGAUGGUUUGCAAGCAUUUUUUCCCGUUCCGUAGAUUGCCUUUUCACUUCAUUGAGUGUUUCCUUUGCCGAACAGAAGCCCUGUGAUGUUUCCUAAGGCCGAGACUCCUGGGCUAAAAAUAGAGCUAUUUGAGCUGUAAUUGGAAUCCCACUGAGAAGUUGAGUCAAUGGUCAGUCUCUGAGGCCAAGAGAGGUGUCAGCUGAUGGAGCAUCAUAAGGAUCUGGUGUUUGAGUGCCAGUAUUCGUGGACCCAAGGAGACCUCAUCUUCAAUGACCAUGAGGCAAAGAACGCUUGAGUCAUUUAAAACAGGCUUUGGGCAUGCUGAUAAUCAGAGAAGGAUGGGGUGCUGCUUCCGUGUGGUUCUGAGAGCAGAAACAUGACAUCAAGGCUCUGGGUGGGAAGAUGUGACAUCAGGAGGGACGGCUUAGGCCUCAAUAGAUUGGGUGUGGUCAGAGCGAAACUGAGGGUGCCCCCACCUGACACCCAGCACAACUAGGUUCAAACUCUAUAAAUAUUCUCAACCAGGGUCGAUAUCAAAGGGGGGCAGAGGAGAACAUGAAGCAAGACAGGAAGUCUUGUCUCAGUUUAUUAGCUGUGGCAGGUGGGACCCAUCAUGGGAGUGGUGAGGUCCCAAAGAAGUAAUGUGGACCUCCUCAGCGGUCUCUGAGCCCGGCCGCAGCAGAGACUGCCCCCUGCUCUAGGUGGCUUUGCAAUUCUGUGCUCUGCACCUGUGAUGAUGGCCCAGGCAUACCCCAGAGAGGGGUGUCUGGGGAGUGGAAGCUUGAGGUGAAAGCAAAGACAGAAGUAAGGUUACUUGCGUGGUAUCGAGUGGGGAAAGCAAAACUUGGGGAAGUGUACCCUUAAGCCCCAAGCGGUUUAUGGGGUUUGGCACCAGGUUCUUUGGAGGGAUGGUACCAGAAAGCAGAGGCGGGGAUUUUAUGGCCCACUGACCUAACAAAGAGGAUCCGUAAGUAGGAAUCUGAAAGCUAAGGGGAGUCUAGGAUGAUGGCAGGAAACUAGUGGGGUAUUAGAGAGUGGAGACCCCUGGGAUUUUUAGGAGAUUAGGUUUGCCCAUCUGGCCCCUGUGGUCCAAAAGGUGAUUGACCAUGAGGCCCCAGUGCCAACGCCUCACCCCUGGGGGCCAGAUCUGAUGCUGGCAUGUGAGUUAGGGCUGGUAUAUUCCAGCCCGGGAACCUACGAUGCUGCAGUGUAGACGUGUUUUCAGUGGCACAGCACUACCCUGUAAUUUCAGAGAAAAGGGGAAGGUCUUACUGACGUGCCUCUUCUGACCAAAGUUGCAAACAUCACCUCUGCUCACGUUCUGUUUCCAGAACUUUGUCAAGUGGCCAUGCUUAGCCUCCAGGGGAGCCUGGGAGAUGCAGUAUUAUUCUGUGUAGCCAGAUGUCCAGCUAGAUAUCAGGGGUUCUUCUAUUAAAAGAAAACCAGCGAGUAGGAAUACGGGGAACCAAGAGCAGUCAAUGCCUUGGGUAGGUGCACAGUCCCGAAGAGGGAUCAAGCCGAAAAUUAGAAUAAAUAAAAUAUGAAGGCAGGAAACCCACCAAGACGAGUGUCGCUUGAGUGGACCUCUAGUGAUGCUUCAGCUCUUUGUUACUGUAGCGGCCAAAUAAGAGUUUUCAGAUUGUCUGCUUUCUUUAAGUGAAUGCCUUUCUGAUUGUAGUAACACUUCCUUGUCUUUGUUUAGGAGAAAAAAUUGAAAAGUGUGGAAAAUCAAAUAGAAUCAGUUAAUGACACACCAUCCAGGGGAAAUUCUCUCUUUUAUGCUGGUAUCUCUUCUUCCUACGUUCUCCGUAGCUGUCUAGCUCGCAGGUGUGUGUUUAUAAGGAAACCACCUUCUAUACUUUAUCCUUUGACAGGGUUUUUUUUUUAAUUUUAGUGAUUUCUUUAAUAAUCUUUAUUGUUGGCCGUCUAUGUCCUAAGAAUUCCUUCUUUCUCUGUAGAUCCGAGUCAAGGAAAGGGGGACACAGGCAGUGUCCUGGGGAGGCUCCCCUUGCCCGCACUUGGGAGGCAGGAUGCUCCAGAGGAGGAAGGUGUCACCGCCUCCUUCAGGGGUGACCUUCCCAGCAGGCCCGCUGCCCACGCGCCCCCCUCACCCAGCCCAGCCGGCUCUGCCACCUCUCCCUGCCCCUCCCCUUCCCUGUGUGGCCCCCUCACCCACAGGCCUGCCCUCUGGGCCCUUAACAGAGAAGACAGCACAUCUCACCUCGCUGGUGGUCUGCAUUUCGGGAUUCAGGUGUGAGUGAGAAGAAAACCACUUGUCAUGACCCCCCAGGUGGCCUGCAGUGCAUACCCCAGGCCCCUGAUCCAGCUCCAUCCAACGCCCCCCUUCUCUCCUAAGCCAUUGCUCUAAGGGCAUGCGUUCAAGUCCAAGGGCAGUGAGGUGAGUGUGGCCAACUAAAGCCUGAAGGACAUUCGGCAGGGAAGGGACACGGCAGAGCCUCCUUGCUUAAACUUUAAUUUGAAUUGGAAAUUACCCUGUCUCAAGGUCUGCUUUUCUUUCGGUUAGAGGUUAGUUUUAUUUUUAAUUAAUUUAUUUAUUUAUUUUGCUUUUUAGGGGCACACCCAUGGCAUAAGGGGGUUCCCAGGCUAGGGGUCCAAUUGGAGCUACAGCUGCCGGCCUACAACACAGCCACAGCAAUGCUGCAUCCGAGCUGUGUCUGCGACCUACACUGCAGCUCACGGCAACUCUGGAUCCCUGACCCAGUGAGCGAGGUCAGGGAUUGAACCCACAUCCUCAUGGAUACUAGUUGGAUUAGUUCCUCGGCACCACAACAGGAACUCUCUAUGUUAGUUUUAGUACCUAGGUGUGGGCCUGUGUACACAUGCCUCUGUGUGUGUGUGUGUGUGUGUGUGUGUGUGUGUGUGUGUGUGUGUGUGUCGGGGAGUGAGGGAAGGAUGGGGGAGGGGAGGGAAGAUCCAGCCAUGCAAACACUUUACUGAAUCCCAAGCCAGUCCUGGUUAGGAAUGAACACAUCGUGGCUGAAAAUUCCCUAGGAUUUCAUAUGCCAAGUAUGUGAAUUCAUAUUCUUUAAACACACAUACGCGUGCACACAGGCAGCAAGUCCUGUGGCCACCCCCCUCCCUGACAGGACAGAUAGCAGGCUCAACCAAUGCCGAGGUCAGAGCAUGUGGAGGGAUGAUCUCAGGCUGUCCUCCUGCCCAGCUCCCAGGAGGGCAGAGCGGCCUGCAUCCUCACCCAGCCUGGACUGAGUUUUCCCAACCCCAGACUCCCGGUCCAGCCAGAAGGCAUGCCUCUUUGUUAAGGAUGCAGGGGGCAGAUGGGCUGGAAAAGGGGACUGCAGAGGUGAGUGGAGGGAGCUGCCCCCAGGCUGUCCCCUCACAGAGCCCCAGCCUCCACCUCCCAGCCCUCUGCUCCCAGACCAGCUGCCCCUAGGGCCCUGUGUUCCCCAGGGCCUGCUGUAAAUUUUCAUGAGAGCUGUGUAUCUGGAGAGAGGGAGAAAGCAGCUAGCUUGGGAAUUAAUCAGCCCCACAUGGAUUGCAUAAAAAAAACAAAAAACAAAAAAAAA
rnacentral:lncRNA from 1 species